CUGUGGGGUGCUAUGGGGCGAUAUAAGGCGAUAUGGGGUGUCUAUGGGGGGAUAUGGGGUGAUGUGGGGUGUCUGUGGGGUGAUGUGGGGUCGCUAUGGGGUCGCUAUGGGUCUCUGUGGGUCUCUAUGAGGUCUUUAUGAGAUCGCUAUGGGUCGAUAUGGGGUCCUAUGGGUCUCUAUGGGUUCCUAUGGGUCUCUAUGGGUCGUUGUGGGUCUCUAUGGGUUGCUAUGGGUCUCUAUGGGUUGCUAUGGGUCUCUGUGGGUUGCUAUGGGUCGCUGUGGGUCUCUAUGGGUCACUAUGGGUCUCUAUGGGUCGCUAUGGGUUCCUGUGGGUCCCUAUGGGCUGCUGUGGGUCGCUAUGGGGUCGCUGUGGGUCGCUGUGGGUCUCUACGGGUCGCUAUGGGUCUCUAUGGGCUCUCUAUGGCUCUCUAUGGGUCGCUGUGGGUCCCUGUGGGGUCGCUGUGGGUCCCUAUGGGUCGCUAUGGGUCCCUAUGGGUCGCUGUGGGUCUCUAUGGGUCUCUGUGGGUCUCUAUGGGUCGCUAUGGGUCUCUAUGGGUUCCUAUGGGUCUCUAUGUGUCCUUAUGGGGUCGCUUUGGGUUGCUGGGGGUUCCUAUGGGUCUCUAUGGGGUCGCUAUGGGUCUCUAUGGGUUGCUGUGGGUCUCUAUGGUUCCCUAUGGGUCCCUAUGUGUCCCUAUGGGGUCGCUGUGGGUCGCUGUGGGUCUCUAUGGGUCGCUAUGUGUCCCUAUGGGGUCGCUGUGGGUCUCUAUGGGUUCCUAUGGGUCGCUAUGGGUCCCUAUGGGGUUGCUAUGGGUCUCUAUGGGUUGCUAUGGGUCUCUAUGGUUCCCUAUGGGUCCCUAUGUGUCCCUAUGGGGUCGCUGUGGGUCGCUGUGGGUCUCUAUGGGUCGCUAUGUGUCCCUAUGGGGUCACUGUGGGUCGCUGUGGGUCUCUAUGGGUCGCUAUGGGUCUCUAUGGGUCGCUAUGUGUCCCUAUGGGGUCGCUAUGGGUCUCUAUGGUUUGCUAUGGGUCUCUAUGGGUCCCUAUGUGUCCCUAUGGGGUCACUGUGGGUCGCUGUGGGUCUCUAUGGGUUCCUAUGGGUCUCUAUGGGGUCGCUGUGGGUCCCUAUGGGUCCCUAUGUGUCCCUAUGGGGUCGCUGUGGGUUCCUAUGGGUCCCUAUG
rnacentral:lncRNA from 1 species